GACUGCUCGGGGUUAGGCUGGGCAUCGGUCAGCGAGUGGUUAAAUAUAAUUGGUGAUGAAAAUCAAAAAUCUUCCAUGUAAUCAUAUUAAACAACCGAUUAAAGAACUAGAUGCUACUUCUAGGUAUGAUCUGGAGCCAUAAGCAAUGGACAGAGGUUAUGACAAGACCAUUUUACAUCUGUUGACACAUUUCUGAAAUGGUUUUAAUAGAACAUUUGUGGAUAUUACUAUCAAUAAAAUCUAAUUUAACAACAUAAUCUUGUCCUACAAAGCCUUGAAUGUACUCGCUGACAAUGACAACUAAAGCUGCCAUUUUCUCUUGGUCCCAUCUUGAAAUGCUGUGUGACCAUUUCACUCCUAGGAAAAUGCACUCAUUGUGUAUCACCAUCAAUGUCUUCAAGACAUACAUAAAGUAACAUUGGUAUUAGGUUUCGCCAAUAUGCAUGCAAAAUAUCAUUUCCAUAAAUUUUAGCAUGGAUAGAAGUUUGUAAGAAAAUUUCUUUUAAGAAAGAAUGUAAAACAAUUUACAAUUCAAAGAUCUAAUGUGUUAAAGUGAGGAAAUAGAAAAGAGAACUGAAAUGAUUUCAUGAAAAAAAUAUGUUUUACUUUCAGCUUUCUUCUGCUCACCUGACAUGCAGUAUCAUAUCCUCCAAAGAGAAUUGAGAUUCUAAAUAUCUCUUAUACCAUCUUUGUUCUUCAGGUACAGCUCUCUUUAUGAUUCCCGUUCAGCAGAGUGCUCAGGACACAGUAACUUUUACUAAGCAAGGAAACCAGUUGACUUUAAUGUGGUCACUCAUUGAUGGAAAAUCAAAUAUGUGCCAAAACACUGUGCUUUGGCCCACUUAGGCUAACACAUGCACACCGUACUUCAUUAAUAUACAAAAUUUCAGUUAAAUAUAAAUUGAAACAGCUACUGCAUGUUGUACAUUCUGAUAAGAAGAAGAAAAAUUGCCACCUCUGAAAGUAAAAUACAGAAUGUUGGAAGAAAACCAAAUGAAUAUUCUAUUUGUGAUAAAUCCCAUCCCUCAGGGAGACUUAGUGUUGGACCUUUGCCUCUGAAAAGAAGUGAUAUAUUGAGCUAAAGCUGAAUCUGCUUUUUAAGAACAACAUUGAUUCCACUCCCAUCCAUUCUCAAGAGUUUGAUUUCAGCCUGCAGGAAUACACCACACUUCAAAUCCAAUACAGCAGUUUUUCCAGCGAUGUGUUUUUCGUAUGAUUAUCUUAUACACCGCGAAGCAGAUGCAGAAGUUGAGACAUGCUAUUGUGACCAAAAAACAAAACAACAACAAAACAAACAAAACAACAACAAAACAAACAAACAAACAAAAACAUACAGGUUUCAGUUGCACACUAGGUGAAAGUCCUAGCAUAAAGAAAAUGGACUUGAAAUUGUCCAUGCUGCCAUUAUGCUGCUGGGGCACAAAGAUAGCUAGAUCUCUUACACUUGCAUCCUGUAUUACUUAUGGUGUGACCCGAGCUGUAAAGACCAUAACAUCCUCUCUUUCAGUGUUGUUUUAUGGAGAUAUGCUUUAGCUUAGAUCUGUUUUUAUGUUCCAUCAACUGGCUUCCCUUUCAGGAUUUUGUAUAAAACUCUACCAGAGUAUUUUUUUAUGGAUAACAUUAAAGGUAACAAAUAGCUGAACUCUGGCAAAUCUUAAAACUGUAUAGAAAUACAGACCAUUCAGUAUCAUCAUUAGUCUAAGGCAUUUUCUUUCAAGGACUAUAUACAUGUGGUGGAUUUCUAUACUUUUUACAAUGUUCUAGCACUGCAUCUUCUGACAUACCACCAGAGCCUUCAUCCUGUUAGAUCUUCCUUCAGCUGUAAGGUAUUUACCUGCAAUCUUUUUUACUGACUCUUACGUAUGCUGAGAUGUGAUGUGUUACAUGCCUCUUCCUGAGAAAAUAAUUUAUUUAUUUAGUUUUAGAUGUGGAUUUGCUUAGCAGGUCUUGAAAGUGUUCACCCGUUGCUUUCUUUAUUUUUAUUUUAUUUUAUUAUUUUUUUCUUUUGAAGAAUCUUUCCUUGCUUACCCUAAGCUAGCCCUAAACUUUCCUGCUGAGAUCUUACUAAACUGAUAAAGGUUUGCUAUUUCUCUACCAGUAACCACUUCAGUGUCUUCAAUGUCUUAAAAAGUGCUAUAUACAUUUUUCCCUUUGCUUCUUCUCAUGCCGGUUUUCACUGCUCACUGUCUUUUGUUAUGCACAGAACUUAGUCUCUUCCUGACUUUCUGGAGGUGUUUUAGAGAAAGUGAUUUUUACUUGGUGUAUUUUCCAUCACUGAGUUCUGCUUGUUCUUGCUUAUUCAGAUUUCUAGAUGACUUGUGUUAAAAGAUGUUUAGAUGUAGAGCUUAGGGAUAUGGUUUAGUGGAGGACUGGUUAGUGUUAGGUCAGAGGUUGGACUCGGUGAUCUUGGAGGUCUCUUCCAACCUAGGUGAUUCUGUGAUUCUGUGAUUCUGUGAAAACGUUCUACAUGAAAAAAAGUUCAUGAUAUAGAAAGAAUGUUUUGUGGAGGAUCUAAAUUUUAGCACUUGAACACCUUUCUUGAGGCCAGUUUAGAUUUUCCAUUCAUAUGUCUUACCUAGUACCCUUGUACUGGCCUUUGAGGAUUUUUUCUUGAGUUUGAUAUUGAUUAUUGUCAGUGUCUGCAGGCCUGAACAACAUGCAAGUGAGUGGACAUACAAGCAACCAUAAACUCAGAAUCUGCAAUAACAUGCAAAAUAUCUGACUUCAAAUUGUAGUGGAGGCUGAUCAGCUAGUAGCAUAAUUUUGGCACAUUACUGUAUUAUUGCAGACACAGUUUGGCAGCUGCAUCCAAAUGUGUUUAUGAAGUGUGUUUCCAUUUUUAAUACUUUCUGAGGGCUGUGUUUUAAAGGACAGUAUUUAGAAGGGACAGCAUUUAUUACCAUGUUUAUUGAGUUUUAUGACUUCCUGCCCUGCCCUGUCCUUUUUUUGUGUGUGAGAAAAGGAGCUGAUUUCAACAAAAUCUAAGAAGGUGAAGGUAUAAUUUUGCUUCAUGAAAGCCCCAUAGCACAUUAGUGUGGCUUAGCUCUACAUGUGUUUUCUCAGCUAAAGUGCUUUACAUUUCCAAGGAAUAAUUUUCUACUACUCCUUUUGUUUUUGAGAAGAGACUUGUCAGCGUAUAAUUUUCCUGGCUUUUUAUGUUCCACAUUUUCACAUUUUUUCCCCAGCUUAAAAGCCCUGCUUUACUCCAGUGUUCUACUUUCUGCUACAGUAGCUGUUUUAACAGUAUUGUUACUUUGCUAUUUAAUUCUGUCAGUUUUUUUUUUCUUGGUGAAUUGAUAGUUUCUUGUCACAUAUUUAAUUGCAGGAUAAUUCUAAAGAUCUUUUCCUACCACUUUUUGCUGUCCCCUUUCUUUUCUCUGUUAGUUGCAUUGUAAUAUGAAGUACACAGGCAAAAAACAUGAAGUUCAUCAUGUAGUUGGAAAAUACUCUUGACACAUCUUGGCCCAUUUAUGACCACUGGACUGUUGCCAUUUACUUUGAGGAUGGUGUGGACAAUGCCUUGAGGGUAAUGGUCCUCUCUCAUCAGCAUGAGUAUACCUUCAAGACAAAAGAUUAACAUUUGAUGUGUGUGUUUUCUUAGGGUUUCAAAUAGCAAUGAUUAAGAAACAGGCUCUAAAUGUAUACAUUUCACUGUACUGCAUGUUCUCCAAACUCUGGUUGUUGUGAACUAAGAGUGAGUUUUUAGAGUUUGGCUGGCUUUCAGUAAAUUCCCAUUUAUCUAAGCCCAUGAGCAGAUAGUUUUGUUGAUGGUGAGCUGCAAAGCCAUCCAAGGGCAGCUGAGGCCUGCAAGGGAAAACAUUCUUCUAUAUAUUCUAGGAUGAGAUCAGUCAAAGCCUAAAAGAGAUUCACAAAAGCCAUAGUUUUCAAAAGAGACAUCAGUUUUCAGAAAGAGCUUGGUAUAUAUUGCCUUGCAUGACUAAACUUGCCAGUAUUUUAAGAGAACCUAAUCCUUUAAGUGUGGAGUAAAAGCUGUUGGUUGGCUGUGCGUACUGUUAAUUAAAUAAAAAAAAAAAAUAGAUUUUGUAAUAAACAUUUUAGAGUUAAUUCACACGUAUAAAAUGAUUAUAUUGGCAUAAUAGGGGGACACAAUAUGCAGAGGCAGUGAAUAAUAAUAGCUCCCUCAGUAUCUGUAGGGCCACAGAAUUUUUUUUACUAUAGUCUGGAACAAUGUGUGAGAAGUUUUAAUUAUGCAUCAAAUUCUAAUUUUAUAACCAUAGAACUGCCUAAAAAUAUUUCUACUGUUAUUCACGACAAAUAUAUGAUUCUAUUUUUUUUGUGGAAAUGGUGUGACUGUAGAAGGUACAGUAGUUUUUCUACUAACAGAAUAUAGUAAGUGGGGCAUCACUCAUUUGCUCCUUACAACUCUUCACUGGCACUUAAAAGUUCAGCUUUUAUUCAGUGUAUCCAAUCUUUCUCUUUGUUUUUUAUUUGUUUCAAUUCUAGUAUUACAAACUUUUUGGACCAUACUUUUAAAAAUGAUUUGCAGCACAUCUAGUAAAGUAUUAGUCUUGGUUUUAGAAUAAUGGCUGGCUUAAGAGUAAUUUAGAGGACAUAAAUAAAAAUGAUAAAUGAGUAUGUUCUGCUUUUCAAAGAGUCAAGUGUCCUGCUUAUUUUCUGCUACAGGAAGUUAUCCUUCAUAGAUAUUUCACAUUUGCCUUAAAGCUCAUUUCAUUAUCUAAAAAUAAAAUAGCUAACUAUAUUAAGAAUUAUUUUAUGCAUGUUGUGACUCAAAAAAAUCCAGUUUAUAACACUUUUUCAUGAAUAUUAGAAAGGAUCUUCUGUGCCCUCUUUGGCGAAGUAAGAUCUUUCAGCUGGAAUUUAAUCAUUCAAACAAACAAACAAGCAAAAGCUUUAUUUGGGGGGAGUUAGCAAGUUGCUCCAUGAUACAGUCAUAAAAAUGUACUCUCAAACAACCCUGCAGAAAAAUAUAAUUAUGCUCAUAAACAGAGUCAUUAGAGAUGAAUGAGAAAGGAGUGGACAGAAUGUGUUGCUUGGUAAAUUUAGCUCUGCCUCUGUCUGCCACUUGUUUGUGAGCUGCUUUGGUCUCCCUUGAAUCUAUUUGUUACUCUAAAUUAGUCUCCAGUCAUGGUGGCAGCUCUUGUGUGUUCCCACGGCCCUGGGAGCUAUGCCAAACACGUUCUGCUACAAGCAGAACCUCCUGGAAUGGGCAGGCUAGAGAGGAUGUGUUGGAGUCUGGAUCUGGUCUUCUAGCUUGGUGAGUGGGCAAAGGCUGAAAUUCUUCUCCUUUUGAUAUAAAGCCAAUAAGAUAAACAAUAAAACAGAUAAAUUACCUAGGUAUGGAAAAUUGAAUAAGAGCUGAGAACAUAGAACAUCUGGAUCUCAUUGAAGGCCAAAUCCCAGACAAAUAGGGUGAAGCAAAAAAGAGGUAUCUCAAAAGCACAUCUUAAUCUCAGAAGAAUGGAAAAGAAAUUAAACCUCUGUGAAAAAGAAUCUAUUGGUGCAGUCAGCUGUCUUUGAAGUCAGCUGCUGAGCAAACUUAGUAUCAGUGUAUGUGCUCUCACUGAAGCAGCAAAUUGAUUCUAGAAAGAACUCAAGGAACUUAUAGUGGACUCUAAUGUUGACAUUAAAAUUAUAUCGACACUGAAGUAUUAAAGUGGGAAAAUGAGAAGGAACUAUAUUUGUGACAGCUGCUUACAGUGGAAUCACAUUAAUCUGAUUUGCAGAUCUGAAGACUGCCUUAUUGUACCUCACAAUUGCAUUUGCAAGAACACUACCAUUCAGUGAUGGACUUCUUAUCUACGCGAUCAACCACAAACUUAAUACAACAGACUUAAUUCAGACUUAGAGAAGUUACUUGUGAUACAGGCUGCUAUUGUGAAAGAGAGAAAACUGCUCCUUUAAAGAACUGAAAAUAAGAAAUGAGGCACAGCUAGAGCAGAGGAUCCAAAGAAUAGACCAGAAUCACGUAACGAUGUUAGUCACCAAGAGCUGGCUUUAGAAGACCACUGACUGAUGUGUACAGAGAGUGUUGAUACUGAAGCUUUGUUACAAAGCAUUCAGUCAUAUAAAGAAUGAACUGUUUUAAUGAGUAUCUCAGUGGUGAAGUGGAUAAAGACAAAGAUUCAGAGCCAUUUUCCAGGCUGCUGAUCAACUUGUGGAAGCAUCAUUUUUAUUAUUUUUUAAGGAGUGUAAGGAAGUGGUUAGAGCUAGAAGGAACAACAAAGUUUCUGAAGAAUUAUUAAAACAAAGAAACCUACAAGUUAAA